ACCUGAAAGCCCUUACAAAUCUAGAAAGUUAACGGGUCUUUGCUGCUUAAUUACCCUCAUCUGCACAACCACCACCAGUUCCCCCAGUACUCUGCUGUCCCACUCGGAGGCUGGAGCAGCUCCCCCAGCCUGCCCUGCACAAGGCUGUCCACACAGCCCCCCGAGACACGUGCUAGACCAUUUUACCUGCUUUUACUCUACCUGUGCUUCAGCCUCCCUAUUUCCCACAAGACUUCCCACAGCACAAGCUCACCCUGCAGCACACAGAGGAGGAAGGGCAGCUGUUUCAGAUAAAGCAUCUACCUUCUUUUCCCCUCCUUCUUAACCAAAGCUUCCCCAGUGAUGCAGCCUCCAAAGGAGGUAUUUGGAGAGACGGGAGAAAGCUGGAAGCCAGCUGAGGCUGUGUGGAACCUGAGCAGCCACAACCGCUGCCACUGAGCAACCCAGAGGGUCUCUCCUGCUGCUGCCUACAAGCAUCAGAAAACAUCUCCUUGCUGCAUCUCAUAUGUUCACAGCAAAUAGAAGACAGGCCAAGAAACAGCAGCUCUAGCAGGCAGGAUGUAGAUCAUCCUGACACACCCAGUGCCAGCUGCAGUAAGAAAUUUGCUUGAAAAAGAACCCCAUGCUAACCUGCAGGGAAAACCACAUAUUGGCCCUUUCCAAUCUGACGGGUUGGCUCUUAAUCUGGAUUAAGUUUAAGAUCGAGUGCACGUCCAGGCUGUACAAAGUGAGCACCUGUGAAUCUAAAGGCAUGAGCAGCAUCUGCUGGAUGAGCCGAGCCAAGUGCAGCUGCAGCUUCUGCAGAUUUUGGGAAAACUGUUCUCUCACAGCACCUCCAAGAGGGAGAUAAGCAACCUCUGAACAUAAAAAUGUAAUUCUCAUCCCAUGGAGUCCAAAGGACUUUUGCCAGGGCUCCCAGGAGUUCUCAUCUACUGCAGAGCUUGUCAAGGAGCAGCACAGGAGGGAAACAAAACCAGGAAAUAUGGGAGGCACAUGUGCAUGUCUGAUUAACCCGACGUUUUAUGAUAAACAAAGCAGCUCAAGGGCCCUGUUCUCUCUGUCCCUGUAAUA